rnacentral:rRNA from 1 species
UGCUGGAGGUAUCAGAAGUGCGAAUGCUGACAUAAGUAACGAUAAAGCGGGUGAAAAGCCCGCUCGCCGGAAGACCAAGGGUUCCUGUCCAACGUUAAUCGGGGCAGGGUGAGUCGACCCCUAAGGCGAGGCCGAAAGGCGUAGUCGAUGGGAAACGGGUUAAUAUUCCCGUACUUGGUGUUACUGCGAAGGGGGGACGGAGAAGGCUAUGUUGGCCGGGCGACGGUUGUCCCGGUUUAAGCGUGUAGGUGUGUGUUCCAGGUAAAUCCGGUUCACUUUAACACUGAGGCGUGACGACGAGGCACUACGGUGCUGAAGCAACAAAUGCCCUGCUUCCAGGAAAAGCCUCUAAGCAUCAGGUAACACGAAAUCGUACCCCAAACCGACACAGGUGGUCAGGUAGAGAAUACCAAGGCGCUUGAGAGAACUCGGGUGAAGGAACUAGGCAAAAUGGUGCCGUAACUUCGGGAGAAGGCACGCUGACACGUAGGUGAAGUGAUUUACUCAUGGAGCUGAAGUCAGUCGAAGAUACCAGCUGGCUGCAACUGUUUAUUAAAAACACAGCACUGUGCAAACACGAAAGUGGACGUAUACGGUGUGACGCCUGCCCGGUGCCGGAAGGUUAAUUGAUGGGGUCAGCGCAAGCGAAGCUCCUGAUCGAAGCCCCGGUAAACGGCGGCCGUAACUAUAACGGUCCUAAGGUAGCGAAAUUCCUUGUCGGGUAAGUUCCGACCUGCACGAAUGGCGUAAUGAUGGCCAGGCUGUCUCCACCCGAGACUCAGUGAAAUUGAACUCGCUGUGAAGAUGCAGUGUACCCGCGGCAAGACGGAAAGACCCCGUGAACCUUUACUAUAGCUUGACACUGAACAUUGAGCCUUGAUGUGUAGGAUAGGUGGGAGGCUUUGAAGCGUGGACGCCAGUCUGCGUGGAGCCGACCUUGAAAUACCACCCUUUAAUGUUUGAUGUUCUAACGUGGACCCGUAAUCCGGGUUGCGGACAGUGUCUGGUGGGUAGUUUGACUGGGGCGGUCUCCUCCUAAAGAGUAACGGAGGAGCACGAAGGUUGGCUAAUCCUGGUCGGACAUCAGGAGGUUAGUGCAAUGGCAUAAGCCAGCUUGACUGCGAGCGUGACGGCGCGAGCAGGUGCGAAAGCAGGUCAUAGUGAUCCGGUGGUUCUGAAUGGAAGGGCCAUCGCUCAACGGAUAAAAGGUACUCCGGGGAUAACAGGCUGAUACCGCCCAAGAGUUCAUAUCGACGGCGGUGUUUGGCACCUCGAUGUCGGCUCAUCACAUCCUGGGGCUGAAGUAGGUCCCAAGGGUAUGGCUGUUCGCCAUUUAAAGUGGUACGCGAGCUGGGUUUAGAACGUCGUGAGACAGUUCGGUCCCUAUCUGCCGUGGGCGCUGGAGAACUGAGGGGGGCUGCUCCUAGUACGAGAGGACCGGAGUGGACGCAUCACUGGUGUUCGGGUUGUCAUGCCAAUGGCACUGCCCGGUAGCUAAAUGCGGAAGAGAUAAGUGCUGAAAGCAUCUAAGCACGAAACUUGCCCCGAGAUGAGUUCUCCCUGAGACUU